rnacentral:rRNA from 1 species
UUGGGCUUAAAGUGUGCGCAGGCGGUUGUGUAAGACAGGCGUGAAAUCCCCGGGCUUAACCUGGGAAUGGCGCUUGUGACUGCACGGCUGGAGUACGGCAGAGGGGAUGGAAUUCCGCGUGUAGCAGUGAAAUGCGUAGAUAUGCGGAGGAACACCGAUGGAGAAGGCAGUCCCCUGGGCCUGUACUGACGCUCAUGCACGAAAGCGUGGGGAGCAAACAGGAUUAGAUACCCGGGUA